CACACCUGAACUCAUCCCGAACUCAGAAGUUAAGCACUUUCACGGCGACAAUAGUUGGGCUUGCCCCUGCGAAGAUAGCUAGCUGCCGGGU
rnacentral:rRNA from 1 species